rnacentral:misc_RNA from 1 species
CAACAACAAAUCAAAGUUCCCUCCACAAUGUGCCGACGAACCUCCGUUCUACCCUUAGUCCUUUCUCUUUUCCACCUAUAUUAUUAUGGAAAUGUUUUAUCUGUGUCUAUCCCGUUAUCUAUAAAUAUAACAGACAGGAUAUUGCCAGUGCAACUGAACACUACGAUCUUGAUGGAGGGUGCCGAAGAGCUGAACAUUACUCAGCAAUUAAAUGUGAAACACUUCCAAGAGGGCCAGCUCACAAGGGAGGAAAACUUUGUAUGCAGCCACAUGACAACUACAGAUCUAGCUACUGAUUUCUUCCAACUUUCAAAACUGGCCGGAGCUUAUGACGCCGCGGGUAGCCAAGACCAAAGAUUGCACUCUCCCUCUCUCACCUCUACGUUGGCCCCAGUAGUUCCUGAAACCACGCCUGCAACCCUUACCCCCGAUGGAGUGACGCUAAACAUUAGGACCUCAGUGACGGAUAUAAACCCAUUAACUCGCUUCACAAAAGCGGUUAGAGAUCUUAAAGAAGACAUUACACCAGGGUAUGAUCUGACCAACGGAAGAAAAUUCGGUCGGGAGUUUUUAAGAGCUCUUGAGGAGAAUGGGGUGCGAGGCAGGCACAAGAGGGAUUCAACCACAGAUGUGCUACAGAUGACACUGGAUGUGACUGAGUCUAGAGAAAAAUACGUUGAAAUCAGGGACCAGUGUGCGAGCGUAUUAGGUGCUCUGAUAAAGAGCAUGGUUCCAUCUGUAUCAGAACAUUGCUUGUAUCAUUAUCACAUUAAGAAUAUAAUAAAUUGUUUCACUAGUCAUUACAUCAGACUCCACAAUGAACCAGAUUUCCCGUUGGUUAUGGCAUUAUACUCUGAAUACCUAUCGCUCACAGUGAAGAUCCAUUACAUGGACGAGAUCUUAGUCAGCACCCUAAGGGCAUGA